UGCAGUCGAGCGAAUGGAUUAAGAGCUUGCUCUUAUGAAGUUAGCGGCGGACGGGUGAGUAACACGUGGGUAACCUGCCCAUAAGACUGGGAUAACUCCGGGAAACCGGGGCUAAUACCGGAUAACAUUUUGAACCGCAUGGUUCGAAAUUGAAAGGCGGCUUCGGCUGUCACUUAUGGAUGGACCCGCGUCGCAUUAGCUAGUUGGUGAGGUAACGGCUCACCAAGGCAACGAUGCGUAGCCGACCUGAGAGGGUGAUCGGCCACACUGGGACUGAGACACGGCCCAGACUCCUACGGGAGGCAGCAGUAGGGAAUCUUCCGCAAUGGACGAAAGUCUGACGGAGCAACGCCGCGUGAGUGAUGAAGGCUUUCGGGUCGUAAAACUCUGUUGUUAGGGAAGAACAAGUGCUAGUUGAAUAAGCUGGCACCUUGACGGUACCUAACCAGAAAGCCACGGCUAACUACGUGCCAGCAGCCGCGGUAAUACGUAGGUGGCAAGCGUUAUCCGGAAUUAUUGGGCGUAAAGCGCGCGCAGGUGGUUUCUUAAGUCUGAUGUGAAAGCCCACGGCUCAACCGUGGAGGGUCAUUGGAAACUGGGAGACUUGAGUGCAGAAGAGGAAAGUGGAAUUCCAUGUGUAGCGGUGAAAUGCGUAGAGAUAUGGAGGAACACCAGUGGCGAAGGCGACUUUCUGGUCUGUAACUGACACUGAGG
rnacentral:rRNA from 1 species